UUGUUCUCAAGCGCUAACCUUUUGCUUCUUUCACUAGUUUUCCUUUAAAGUACUCUUCGAUCGCACAUUAGCCCUUUUGCUUCCUUCACUCUUUGAUCUUAAGCCCUCACCCUCCAUUUGUCACUUUCACUCCCCACAAGUAAGUUUGGUUUUUCCAAAUCACUUCCUAACUUUCUUCAAUUUUUCGUUUCUCACAGGCUUUCUCUUCUGCAAUGCCAAGACUCCGCCCUUCAAUCCCAACGUCCCUUACCGCCACCGUCCAAACCACGCUUCAACACCACCAUCAAAGCUCCCACUUAGGGUUGGAUUUAGAUCGGUUGGGUAUUGAUGAUUUUGAGGUGGAGGACGAGGUCUAACCCAAUUUCCCAUGUCCGUAUUGCUACAAGGACUUUGAUAUCGUGUCAUUGUGUUCGCAUCUAGAAGACGAGCACUCAGGCGAAUCCAAAGUCGAUCUGUGGAUUUCUUCAACCAAGUGAAUUUACAGAAUGGUACCCUCACAGAAUUCUAUACUAAUGAGAAUUGUCUUACAGUGACUACAGGCCCCAAAUAAAAUAGUAUCACCACCUGGAAAAUCCGAGAAGCAGUUGAAAGAGGAUCACACUCAAAGUCAACAGCCCCCGCUAUCCAAGAAGCAAGUUUUACAUAAUUCUCAUUCUUUAAUUAUGUAAAACUUCCCAGUAAUCACCAACUAUAAACAAUAAUUAUGUCUCAUUUCCUUUACUAUUUAAAACUAUAUAGAAUGAAUUAUGUCACAAUUCCUUAGCUACUAAUUAUUUUAUACCAAACUUGUAGCUCUUAGCCACACAUUUGAAUCUUAUUCAACCACAUGAAGUUUCUCAUCAAUUGCCUUAGCCCUGUGGGAAAAGCUUAGGAAUAGUGAUGCAGCUGGGACUAUUAAAAGGGAUGUAAUAGAGAGGAACAUGCACUGAGUGAAUUUAAGCUAUGUGAAGAUCUAAAGAAAAAAAAAAACGGUGCUUUGUUUAGAGUGGAGGUCUUGUUGCGAUCAUGGCUUCACUGGGUUUCUAGAGAGGUGUUGAGAAUAUGGACAAUUGAGAGGUAUUUGCACAUGUGGAAGUACCUCCAUCAUAAUUUCGCUCUACCCGAGUAAAUUUGGUUUCUCUUCCAUGUAAAUAGUGAGAACAAAAUGUUAGACAUUCAUCUGCUAAAUACUUUUCUACAAUAGACCCUUCUGCGUGUGCCUUAUUACGAACAUAACUCUUAAGCUUGUGCAAAUACCUAUAUUUGAAGGCAUAAUAUAAAAUUUUAUCAAAAAUAAAAUACUAGUAUGCAAUUGUAAUUUA